rnacentral:rRNA from 1 species
AUACGGAGGAUCCAAGCGUCAUCCGGAAUCAUUGGGUUUAAAGGGUCCGUAGGCGGGUUUGUAAGUCAGUGGUGAAAGUUUUCGGCUCAACCGGAAAAUUGCCAUUGAUACUGCAAGUCUUGAAUUAUUGUGAAGUGGUUAGAAUGUGUAGUGUAGCGGUGAAAUGCAUAGAUAUUACACAGAAUACCGAUUGCGAAGGCAGAUCACUAACAAUAUAUUGACGCUAAGGGACGAAAGCGUGGGUAGCGAACAGGAUUAGAAACCCUAGUAGUCC